GAUGAACGCUGGCGGCGUGCCUAAUACAUGCAAGUCGAGCGAACGGACGAGAAGCUUGCUUCUCUGAUGUUAGCGGCGGACGGGUGAGUAACACGUGGAUAACCUACCUAUAAGACUGGGAGAACUUCGGGAAACCGGAGCUAAUACCGGAUAAUAUGUUGAACCGCAGGGUUCAAAAGUGAAAGACGGUCUUGCUGUCACUUAGAGAUGGAGCCGCGCUGCAUUAGCUAGUUGGUAAGGGAACGGCUUACCAAGGCAACGAUGCAUAGCCGACCUGAGAGGGUGAUCGGCCACACUGGAACUGAGACACGGUCCAGACUCCUACGGGAGGCAGCAGUAGGGAAUCUUCCGCAAUGGGCGCAAGCCUGACGGAGCCACGCCGCGUGAGUGAUGAAGGUCUUCGGAUCGUAAAACUCUGUUAUUAGGGAAGAACAUAUGUGUAAGUAACUGUGCACAUCUUGACGGUACCUAAUCAGAAAGCCACGGCUAACUACGUG
rnacentral:rRNA from 1 species